AUUGAACGCUGGCGGCAUGCCUUACACAUGCAAGUCGAACGGUAACAGAGUGCUUGCACCGCUGACGAGUGGCGAACGGGUGAGUAGUGCGUCGGAACGUGCCGAGUAGUGGGGGAUAACGCAGCGAAAGUUGUGCUAAUACCGCAUACGUACUGAGGUAGAAAGUGGGGGACCUUCGGGCCUCACGCUAUUCGAGCGGCCGACGUCUGAUUAGCUAGUAGGUGAGGUAAAGGCUCACCUAGGCGACGAUCAGUAGCGGGUCUGAGAGGAUGAUCCGCCACACUGGGACUGAGACACGGCCCAGACUCCUACGGGAGGCAGCAGUGGGGAAUUUUGGACAAUGGGCGAAAGCCUGAUCCAGCCAUGCCGCGUGUCUGAAGAAGGCCUUCGGGUUGUAAAGGACUUUUGUCAGGGAGGAAAUCCCUAGUGCUAAUAACACUGGGGGAUGACAGUACCUGAAGAAUAAGCACCGGCUAACUACGUGCCAGCCGCCGCCGUAAUAC
rnacentral:rRNA from 1 species